rnacentral:rRNA from 1 species
GACGAACGCUGGCGGCGUGCUUAACACAUGCAAGUCGAACGAUGAAGCCCAGCUUGCUGGGUGGAUUAGUGGCGAACGGGUGAGUAACACGUGAGUAACCUGCCCUGGACUCUGGGAUAACCCCGAGAAAUCGGAGCUAAUACCGGAUAGGACCUUUCCCUGCAUGGGGUUUGGUGGAAAGUUUUUCGGUUUGGGAUGGACUCGCGGCCUAUCAGCUUGUUGGUGAGGUAAUGGCUCACCAAGGCGUCGACGGGUAGCCGGCCUGAGAGGGUGACCGGCCACACUGGGACUGAGACACGGCCCAGACUCCUACGGGAGGCAGCAGUGGGGAAUAUUGCACAAUGGGCGCAAGCCUGAUGCAGCAACGCCGCGUGCGGGAUGACGGCCUUCGGGUUGUAAACCGCUUUUAGUAAGGAAGAAGGGGAGCUUUGCUUCUUGACGGUACUUGCAGAAAAAGGACCGGCUAACUACGUGCCAGCCGCCGCCGUAACAC